GACGAACGCUGGCGGCGUGCCUAAUACAUGCAAGUUGAGCGCUGAAGGUUGGUACUUGUACCAACUGGAUGAGCAGCGAACGGGUGAGUAACGCGUGGGGAAUCUGCCUUUGAGCGGGGGACAACAUUUGGAAACGAAUGCUAAUACCGCAUAAAAACUUUAAACACAAGUUUUAAGUUUGAAAGAUGCAAUUGCAUCACUCAAAGAUGAUCCCGCGUUGUAUUAGCUAGUUGGUGAGGUAAAGGCUCACCAAGGCGAUGAUACAUAGCCGACCUGAGAGGGUGAUCGGCCACAUUGGGACUGAGACACGGCCCAAACGCCUACGGGAGGCAGCAGUAGGGAAUCUUCGGCAAUGGACGAAAGUCUGACCGAGCAACGCCGCGUGAGUGAAGAAGGUUGUCGGAUCGUAAAACUCUGUUGGUAGAGAAGAACGUUGGUGAAAGUGGAAAGCUCAUCAAGUGACGGUAACUACCCAGAAAGGGACGGCUAACUACGUG
rnacentral:rRNA from 1 species